GAUGAACGCUGACAGAAUGCUUAACACAUGCAAGUCGAUGGGGAAGGCUGAGCUUGCUCAGCUGGUAACCAUGGCGGACGGGUGAGUAACGCGUAAGGAACUUACCUGCGGGACUGGGAUAACGGAGGGAAACUUCUGACAAGACCGGAUAAAGUUACUGGGCAGCAUUGUUUGGUAAUGAAAGGAGACGCCUGCGGAGAGUCUUGCGUCCUAUUAGCUAGUUGGUUGGGUAACGGCUGACCAAGGCGAAGAUAGGUAGCCGGCCUGAGAGGGUGGACGGCCACAAGGGGACUGAGAUACGGCCCUUACUCCUACGGGAGGCAGCAGUGGGGAAUAUUGGACAAUGGGGGCAACCCUGAUCCAGCAAUUCUGUGUGCACGAAGAAGGUUUUCGGAUUGUAAAGUGCUUUCAGCAGGGAAGAAGGAAGUGACGGUACCUGCAGAAGAAGCGACGGCUAAAUACGUGCCAGCAGCCGCGGUAAUACGUAUGUCGCGAGCGUUAUCCGGAAUUAUUGGGCAUAAAGGGCAUCUAGGCGGCCUAACAAGUCAGGGGUGAAAACCUGCGGCUCAACCGCAGGCCUGCCUUUGAAACUGUAAGGCUGGAGUACCGGAGAGGUGGACGGAACUGCACGAGUAGAGGUGAAAUUCGUAGAUAUGUGCAGGAAUGCCGAUGAUGAAGAUAGUCCACUGGGACGGAAACUGACGCUGAAGUGCGAAAGCCGGGGGAGCGAACAGG
rnacentral:rRNA from 1 species